rfam:Dufourea novaeangliae contig173, whole genome shotgun sequence.
GUCAACGACCAUACCUCGCUGACAAUACCAGUUCUCGUCCGAUCACUGAAGUCAAGCAGCGAUGGGCGCGGUUAGUACUUGGAUGGGUGACCGCUUGGGAAUACCGCGUGUUGUUGGCA